rnacentral:rRNA from 1 species
AUGAACGCUAGCGGCAGGCCUAAUACAUGCAAGUCGGACGGGAUUGGAGAGCUUGCUUUCCAUGAGAGUGGCGCACGGGUGCGUAACACGUAUGUAACCUACCUUUAUCAGGGGGAUAGCCUCUCGAAAGAGAGAUUAAGCCCGCAUAAUAUGAAGACACAGCAUUGUGAUUUCAUCAAAUAUUUAUAGGAUAAAGAUGGGCAUGCGGAACAUUAGCUAGUUGGUAAGGUAAUGGCUUACCAAGGCUACGAUGUUUAGGGGAUCUGAGAGGAUGACCCCCCACACUGGUACUGAGACACGGACCAGACUCCUACGGGAGGCAGCAGUAAGGAGUAUUGGUCAAUGGGCGGAAGCCUGAACCAGCCAUGCCGCGUGCAGGAAGACGGCCCUACGGGUUGUAAACUGCUUUUGUACCAGAAUAAACCUUGAUUCGUGAAUCAAGCUGAAUGUAUGGUAAGAAUAAGGAUCGGCUAACUCCGUGCCAGCAGCCGCGGUAAUACGGAGGAUCCAAGCGUUAUCCGGAUUUAUUGGGUUUAAAGGGUGCGUAGGCGGCCUGUUAAGUCAGGGGUGAAAGACGGUAGCUCAACUAUCGCAGUGCCCUUGAUACUGAUGGGCUUGAAUGUACUAGAGGUAGGCGGAAUGUGACAAGUAGCGGUGAAAUGCAUAGAUAUGUCACAGAACACCAAUUGCGAAGGCAGCUUACUAUGGUAUGAUUGACGCUGAGGCACGAAAGCGUGGGGAUC